GUGAGGCAUCACUGUUAGCAUUCUGUACAAUCCAUGGGAGAGCACGAUCUUCAAUCAGAAGAGAUCUUCCAGUUUUACUCCCUGUAUAAUUUCAGAACCAAAUUACCCCACCCUUGAAGAUAAAGAAAUCAUAAAUAUGUUUUUUCAAAUAUG